CACAGAGGAAACGCGAGCGCGCGACCGGCGCGCCAGUCGGCACACCGCCCGGGCGGGCGCCACACGACCGGGAUCUGCGCGAGCGACGAGCGGCGACGCGAACCAAAAUAAUAUCAGUGAAAUAAACACGUAUCCGCCAAACGCUGUAACGUGCGAGCGCAAGAUUCUGUGAAUUUAUUACGAGUACGUGAACGAGUCUCAGUGCAGAGGACGAAACGACAGACCGCAGUCUGUGCGAGAGAGCGAUUAGGGUUCACCGAACCCCUACGACGAAACGAUUCGAGAUCGGAGCCGAAGAAGUGACUUCUCGGCCCCUC